AGCUUUGUGCAGUGGCAGUAUCGCAGCCAAUGAGGUUUAUCCUACAUGUGAUUAUAGCUUUGAAAACAUUCCCCAAUACCCUGCUGUGACCACUUAGGGUAUGUCAUCAUCAUGAACAUUUUUUGGCAGUCUCUAUGGUGA
ensembl:snRNA U4 U4 spliceosomal RNA